UCCUUGGAGGUCCAGUGGUUAAGAUUUGGUUCUUUCACUGCCAUAGACCCAGGUUCAAUCCCUGGUCAGGAAG
rfam:TPA: Bos taurus chromosome 11, whole genome shotgun sequence.